CGAAGGCAGGGUCUCUGGGGCCAAUACUGACACUGAGGAGCGAAAGCGUGGGGAGCGAACAGGAUUAGAUACCCUGGUAGUCCACGCCGUAAACGGUGGGCGCUAGUUGUGCGAACCUUCCACGGUUUGUGCGACGCAGCUAACGCAUUAAGCGCCCCGCCUGGGGAGUACGAUCGCAAGAUUAAAACUCAAAGGAAUUGACGGGGCCCCGCACAAGCAGCGGAGCAUGCGGCUUAAUUCGACGCAACGCGAAGAACCUUACCAAGGCUUGACAUAUACAGGAAUAUGGCAGAGAUGUCAUAGCCGCAAGGUCUGUAUACAGGUGGUGCAUGGUUGUCGUCAGCUCGUGUCGUGAGAUGUUGGGUUAAGUCCCGCAACGAGCGCAACCCUCGUUCUGUGUUGCCAGCAUUAAGUUGGGGACUCACAGGAGACUGCCGGGGUUAACUCGGAGGAAGGUGGGGAUGACGUCAAAUCAUCAUGCCCCUUAUGUCUUGGGCUGCACGCAUGCUACAAUGGCUGGUACAAACGGCUGCGAUACCGCAAGGUGGAGCGAAUCCGAUAAAGCCAGUCUCAGUUCGGAUUGGGGUCUGCAACUCGACCCCAUGAAGUCGGAGUUGCUAGUAAUCGUAGAUCAGCAACGCUACGGUGAAUACGUUCCCGGGGCUUGUACACACCGCCCGUCACAUCACGAAAGUCGGUAACACCCAAAGUCAGUGGCCCAACCGUAGGGAGGGAGCUGCCAAAGGUGGGAUCGGUGAUUGGGAUGAAGUCGUAACAAGGUAA
rnacentral:rRNA from 1 species